AUUGAACGCUGGCGGAAUGCUUUACACAUGCAAGUCGAACGGCAGCACGGGGCAACCUGGUGGCGAGUGGCGAACGGGUGAGUAAUACAUCGGAACGUGCCCAAUCGUGGGGGAUAACGUAGCGAAAGUUACGCUAAUACCGCAUACGAUCUACGGAUGAAAGCGGGGGAUCGCAAGACCUCGCGCGAGUGGAGCGGCCGAUGUCAGAUUAGGUAGUUGGUGGGGGUAAAGGCUCACCAAGCCAACGAUCUGUAGCUGGUCUGAGAGGACGACCAGCCACACUGGAACUGAGACACGGUCCAGACUCCUACUGGAGGCAGCAGUGGGAAUUUUGGACAAUGGGCGCAAGCCUGAUCCAGCCAUUCCGCGUGCAGGAUGAAGGCCUUCGGUUGUAAACUGCUUUUGUUACGGAACGAAACGG
rnacentral:rRNA from 1 species